UUAAAAGCAAUGAAUGGAAAGUGUAGGCUUUUAAGUAUUUCUUCAGAGAGAGAUUGUCUAGGCUGUGAGCAAUCUUAGAGAUAUUAGCCGAAAGUGCAUCCAGGAGCUUGUUAGCUGAAGCUGCUAGACAGUGAUAGGCUAAAACGGUUGCACCCGUUACAGUGCAGGGAUAUGAUAGUAUCCUUUGAGCAUAAGUGAGAGUGGAACCGCAGCUAUAACUGCCUCUUUG
rnacentral:ncRNA from 1 species